GAAUAAAUCUCUGAUUGAGCCCAAUUAUCACAGCAGACAUAUCUGACAGAAACAGAGGAGGAGAAAAAACGAGGAAGCCUUCUCUGGAGGACGAGAUCUGGGAGUUUAUCCUCAAACGCAGAAUAACACCAUGCUGUGUCAGCAGUCUGGUCUGAAACAUGUCAUGAAUCCAAGGGAACGGAGAUGUUGUCCAACCUAUGGAAGGAAAACAGAGAGGGAGAAAAUGAAAGAGAAAGAGAGGGCAUUGUGCUUCUAGCAAACUGACAAUUCCAGUGACUCUGUCAGACAGCAGUUGACUGCUACUCUGCUAUUCCUGUUAGAGGGCUGAACCCACUAUGCCUUGUUGGCACAGAUAUUUUUAGCC